AUUUAAAAUUGAUUUAAAUUUUUUAGCUAAAUUUAAAAUUUAAAUAAAAAAUUAGAAAUUAAAAAUUUUUAGUAUUAAUUGGAAAAAAAAGUUAUUAUUAUUUAAUUGUAAAAGUAAUUUAAAAUUAAAAAAAGAAGUUUUGUUUAUUGUACCUUUUGUACAGGGAUUAUUAAAAUUAAUGUUUAUAUAAAAUGUAUCUCGAAUUAAAAAGAGCUAAUUUAAAUAAUAGUUAAUGUAGAAUAAUUAUUAUAAAUUUUAAAUUUGAAAUGAAAUGUUAAACGAUUUUUAAGAUAUCUAGUUUUUUAAUAAAAAAAUUUAAUUUUUUUAUAAAUUUAAUUAAUAAUAAUUUAAAAUUAUUAAUUGUUUUAUAGAGAAGAAUUUAUGGGAUUAUCUAUAAAUUUAAAUUAAAUGAUGUAUUUAUAAUUUAAAAUUUAGAAAUUAAAAUUUUUAAAAUUUAAAAGUUUUUAAUAAUUUAUUAUUUAGAAUUAAUUUGAUUUUUAAAGUUAUUAAUUAAUUAUUAAAAUAAAUUUAUAAAUUUUUUAUAAGUUAAAAUAAUGAUAAUAUUAGUAUAAAUAAAUUGUUAAAUUAAUUGUUUUAUUAAAUUAAUUUAAGGAAUUAAGCAAAUUUUAAAAUUCACUUGUUUAUCAAAAACAUGUUUUUUUGAAAUUAAUAAAAAAUUUUCUCUGCCCAAUGAUAAAUUAAAUGGCCGCAGUAUUUUGACUGUGCAAAGGUAGCAUAAUAAAUAGUUUUUUAAUUGAAGGCUAGAAUGAAUGAGAGGAUGAAAUUUUAACUGUCUCAAUUUAAUUAUAAAAUUUUAUUUUAAGUUAAAAUUCUUAAAUAAAUUUAAGGGACGAGAAGACCCUAUAGAAUUUAAAAAUUAAAUUUAAUUUUAGAUUUAAUAUUAGAUUAAAAUUAUUUUAAAAUUUUUUUAUUGGGAUGAUAUUUAAAUUUAAUAAACUUAAAAUUAUUAAAUUCAAUGAUUAAUGAAUUUAAGAGUAGAUUUAAUAAAUAAAAGAUAAAAUUACCUUAGGGAUAACAGCGUAAUAAAUUUUUAAAGUUCAAAUUAAAAAAUUUGAUUGCGACCUCGAUGUUGAAUUAAAAUAAAAUUUAAGUGAAGAAGC
rnacentral:rRNA from 1 species